GGGGUAGGAAUUUUACAGUUUCAGGCCUUGCAUUUAAGCUUUUAAUCUAUUUCAAGCUGAUUUCUGCAUGUGACAGGAGUCUAAUCUUAUUCUUUUGUAUGUAGAUAUCCACUUUUCCCAACACCAUUUACUAAAAAUAAAACUAUCCUUUCCCGGUUUAGGGUUCUUGGCACCCUUGUCAAAGAUUAAUUCACUGUAUAUGCACGGGGGUUUAUUUGUGGGACCUUUAUUCUGUUCCAUUGGUCUUUGUGUGUCUUUUUACAUUAGUACUAUACUGUUUUGAUUAGUAAAGCUUUAUAGUAUAUGUAAUUUGCAAUCUGGAAGUGUGAUGCCUCUAGUUUUCUUUCCCAAGAUUGUGCUGGCUAUUCAAAGUCUUCUGUGGUUCCAUACAAAUUUUAGGAUUGUUUUUUCUACUUCUAAUUUUGAUAGAGAUGGUACUGGAUCUGUAGAUUAUUUUGGGUAGUAUGGACAUUUAAUAUUAACUCUUCCCCAUCAAUGAACACAAGAUAUCUUUGCAUUUAUUCAUGUCUUUAAUUUCUUUCAUCAAUGUCUUAUUACUUUUCAGUAUACAGAUUUUCUAUCUCCUUGGUUAAAUUUAUUCCUAAGUGUUUUAUUCUUUUUGAUGCACUGUAAAUGGAAUGCUUUCUUAAUUUCUCUUUUCAUAGUGUGGAGUAAUGGAUGGGUGAAUAUUUCUAAUUGGCUUAUAGCAUUAUCUUGAGUCAUUCUAUAUACUUAGUGCCAUUUCUCACUGUUCCUCAUACAUGCAUGUCACUCUCAAAAACACACUUAAGAGUUUUCACAGCUUGGAGUUCCUGUUGUGGCUCAGUGGAAACAAAUCUGACUAGCAUCCACGAGGAUACAGGUUCAAUCCCUGGCCUCACUCAGUGGGUUAAGGAUCCAGCGUUGCCAUAAGCUGUGGUGUAGGUCACAGACAUGGCUCAGAUCUGGUGUUGCUGUGGCUGUGGUGUAGCCUGGUGGCUACAGCUCUAAUUCAACCCAUAGCCUGGGAACAUCCAUGUGCCGUUGGUGCAGCCCUAGAAAGACAAAAAACAAAUAAAUAACAAAAAUACAUUUUAUGUCUCUAUUUUGUUUAUGAACUCUUUCUUCUCCUUUAGGCUUAAACUAUCUCUACUCUAAGAUCAGAAAAUAUACUCACUUUUAUUCCCUUUAAACUUCUUUUAACAUUUAACUCUUCCCAUCUAUCUGUAAUGCUAGUUUUUUUUGUUUUUUUGUCUUUUUUUGCUAUUUCUUGGGCCGCUCCCACGGCAUAUGGAGGAACUGGAGGUCACACACAGGAAAAGAAAUCAAAUUGACAUAAGAACUUCCGAAAAGCAAUGUAAGAGUAAAGUGAGAAAGUGGUUAAAGUACUUGUCUUAUUCAAAGGGAAGAAAAUAUAUACAUUUAAAUAUAUAUUGUAAAAUUAAGAAACCGUGGGAAAUAAGCAGAAAUAUAGUAAAAAGAAUGUAAAUAAUUUCCAACAUAUGUGUUAUUAUAAUAAAUUUAUUGCAGUGAUUACAAUAAAUGAAAAUAGAUUAAACUCAUUGAUCAAAAGGGUCUCUGAGGUUGGAUAAAAAUGAGAUUCAGCAACUGACUUUAUAAAAGAGACCAAAAUAGGAUACUAAAAUGGUUGACAAUAAAAGGAUAGGAAGAGGUACCAGGGAAUAUAACCCCAGGUUGGUAUACAGGCUUUUCUUUAGGCCCCAUUCAUAAAUAAUUCAGACCCUUUCUGUCUGGGUACAGCUCCUGGCAAUCCUGGGCCUGUGAAUUCCAGUGCUGCAUUAAAGCUCACACACUAACAAGUUAUCUAUUUUCCUUACAGAAGAGGGCUUCAAUUUCUACUUCCUAUUAUGACAUUUGAGUUCUUUUUCCUUUUCAGACACCUGCAGAUUCCUCUUUUUUGCUUUCAAGCUCAGCUGUGUUUUAAAAAUAUUUUAUUUUCAUCUAGCAUUUCCAUCACAUUAUUGAAACGAAAGGAGUGUCCACAGUUUGCCAUGUAGUCCAGAAGUCCCAGAACAUGUACUUAAUUUUUUAAUCUUACUUUCUUCAUCUAUAUUAUGAAAUGGUAAAGCUCAAAAUAAUUAAGCUAGGAGAAGUAAAUAAAAUCAUACCCUAGCAUAAUAGUCCUUGGUACAUAUAGUCCUUGGUACAUAUAAAAUAUUCAAAUGCUGCCCUCUAAAUUUACCACCAAUUUUACAUCCUACCCAAGGAUAGUAAAGCUAGAACCAUAAGCAUGGAACAGAAAUGCCUAACUUUUUUCCAGUUCCAGCUUCCACUGAGCUGCAGUUAUGCUGAGGGUAAAAAUGCUUCUUCUAAAACUAUUUUGGGUAAAAAAAAAAAAAAAAAAAAAAAA
rnacentral:lncRNA from 1 species